rfam:Tursiops truncatus cont1.182278, whole genome shotgun sequence.
UGGAGCUUUGAACAGCUCUGGGUGAGUGAACAAAAUAAGAUCCUGGUGCUGAAAAGCUGACUAUGUGACCCAGACAGUGC